rnacentral:rRNA from 1 species
AGUAACGCGUGGAUAACCUGCCUCACACUGGGGGAUAACAGUUAGAAAUGACUGCUAAUACCGCAUAAGCGCACAGUGCCGCAUGGCAGUGUGUGAAAAACUCCGGUGGUGUGAGAUGGAUCCGCGUCUGAUUAGCCAGUUGGCGGGGUAACGGCCCACCAAAGCGACGAUGGAUAGGGGUUCUGAGAGGAAGGUCCCCCACAUUGGAACUGAGACACGGUCCAA